rnacentral:pre_miRNA from 1 species
AUAAUACUCCCUCCAUCCGGAAUUACUUGUCAUCAAAAUGGAUGUGUCUAGAACUAAAAUAUAUCUAGAUACAUCCAUUUCAAUGACAAGUAUUUUCGAACGGAGGGAGUAGUAG